GAGUGGACGUAUCUCUGGUGUUCCGGUUGUCACGCCAGUGGCAUUGCCGGGUAGCUAUAUACGGACGGGAUAACCGCUGAAAGCAUCUAAGCGGGAAGCCUCCUUCAAGAUUAGAUUUCCCUGGAGCUUUAAGCUCCCUAAAGUGCCCUCGAAGACUACGAGGUUGAUAGGCUGGGUGUGGAAGCGCAGUAAUGUGUGUAGCUAACCAGUACUAAUUGCACGUGAGGCUUGAUCAU
rnacentral:rRNA from 1 species